UACGAGAGGCCCAAACGUUAUUCGGAAUUACUGGGCUUAAAGAGUUCGUAGGCGGCGCGGAAAGUAGGGUGUGAAAGCCCUCGGCUCAACCGAGGAAUUGCGCUCUAAACUGUCGUGCUUGAGGAACCUAGAGGUGAGCAGAACUGAUGGUGGAGCGGUGAAAUGCGUAGAUAUCGAGAGGAACACCUGCGGCGAAGGCGGGUUGCUGGGCUGACACUGACGCUGAGGCGCGAAAGCUAGGGGAGCGAACGGG
rnacentral:rRNA from 1 species